GAUAAACGCUGGCGGCGUGCCUAACACAUGCAAGUCGAACGAUGAAGAUUAAACGAUUUCUUCGGAAUGAACUUAAUUGGAUUAGUGGCGGACGGGUGAGUAACGCGUGAGUAACCUGCCUUGUACAAGGGGAUAGCCGUUGGAAACGACGAAUAAUACCCUAUGACAUCAAAUAAUCGCAUGAUAAUUUGAUCAAAGAUUUAUCGGUAUAAGAUGGACUCGCGUCUGAUUAGCUAGUUGGUAGAGUAAAAGCCUACCAAGGCAACGAUCAGUAGCCGGCUUGAGAGAGUGUACGGCCACAUUGGGACUGAGACACGGCCCAGACUCCUACGGGAGGCAGCAGUGGGGAAUUUUGCACAAUGGGGGAAACCCUGAUGCAGCGACGCCGCGUGAUUUAGAAGGCCUUCGGGUUGUAAAAAUCUUUUGUAUGGGAAGAAAAUGACAGUACCAUACGAAUAAGGACCGGCUAAUUACGUG
rnacentral:rRNA from 1 species